rnacentral:lncRNA from 1 species
UUCUUUUUAGAAACUGGAAGACAACUAGGUUUGUGGAUAUCAGUUGUCUACUACCGAUGAUUGAGUGAAAGCUCAUUUCAAUGACCUGUACUCUACUGACCAGAUACUUGAUGAACAACCCGAAUCGACUCAUGCGAAUUCCACGAAUGCUCACUUUACACUCACCAGCAGAAUGCCCUCCUGGUGGUUAACACACUGCGGAAAGACCAAUUCCUAGUGAUAUUGGAUUUUGUUAUCGCUUCAUGAAACUAAAUGCCUCUGAGCUUUCCAAGAACGGAUG